rnacentral:ncRNA from 2 species
GCCUGUCGUUAGAGGUGGUCUUUGUACCUGAGAUUAAACUCUUCGAACCUGAACUAGAUAAUACUAGCGUAGGGAAACGGCAAGAAAAAUUG